UACGUAGGGUGCGAGCGUUAAUCGGAAUUACUGGGCGUAAAGCGUGCGCAGGCGGUGAGUUAAGUCUGAUGUGAAAGCCCCGGGCUCAACCUGGGAACGGCAUUGGAAACUGGCUUGCUAGAGUGUGGCAGAGGGGGGUGGAAUUCCGCGUGUAGCAGUGAAAUGCGUAGAGAUGCGGAGGAACACCGAUGGCGAAGGCAGCCCCCUGGGCCAACACUGACGCUCAGGCACGAAAGCGUGGGGAGCAAACAGG
rnacentral:rRNA from 1 species